AAGACGGCAAUGGAUUGGAAAAAAACAUUCCUCAAAGAAGACAUAAGCAUGGUCAGUAAGCACAUGAGAAGAUGUGCUUCAGUCAUUAGGGAAAUGCAAAUUAAAACCACAACGAGAUCCCCCUUUGCACCUCCGUGGGCUGGCUUUGGAUAGAAAAAACAACAAUAAGUGUUGGUGAGGAGGCAGAGAAACCGAAAGCCUCGGGUCACUGCAGAUGGAAAUGUAAAAAAUGGUGCAAUCACUGUGGAAAACAGUUGGGCAACUUCUCAAAACAUUCCCACAUGACACAGCAACUCCACUCUCAGAGAAGCAGAAAUAUAUGUCCCUCCAAAGACGUGCACCACAUGUUCACAGCAGCAUCGCUCCCCAUCGCCCCAAAGUGGAAGCAAUCCAGUCGCCCAUGAAGCGGGGAAUGGAUGAAUAGGUUCUGUCCACACGGGGUAAGGCUAAGCGUGUUGCAAAGGAAUGAAGUGCUGAUAUCCGGGACCACGUGGAUCAACCUCAGAAACAUUCGGCCAAGUUGAAAGAAGCCCGUCAUGGAAGACCACAUAGUACAUGUUUCCAUUUUGGGCAGGAUGCUGAACCCACUGAGCAAGGCCAGAGAUCCAUCCUGCAUCCUCAUGGAUACUAGUUGGGUUCUGAACCCGCUGAGCCACAAGAACUCCCUCAUCUAGCUCUUGAUUCAUAUCCUUUAAUGCCUGUUUAUAAUACAUUAAUAAUCUGGAAAGUAAAUGGAUUUUCCUGA